rnacentral:lncRNA from 1 species
UAAAUUUUAGAAUGACAUUUUUAAAGCAUUCUCUAAGACUUUUUUCCCCAAAAAUCUAGAUUUUUGAAUUUAAUAAUGAUAUAUAAUUAUGUCUAUAAUAAUAUAAUCUAUUUUACUGAAUAUUAAUUAAUUAAAAAUUAUCAUUUACAGUCCAACAUCUAGGGCUUUUAAGUACGUAAAUAUUAUGUUGUUUGACUGAAUUAUAGUCCGCGACAUGAAAAGUGGCCGGUGUGUACCGCGACCCGUAGCUGCUUCCCUACCUGUUAGAAAUUGGUUCUCAGCCUAUACCGCAUACAGCAUGGGGGUCGCAGUGCCACGCGUCCACGCGUAAUGUGAACCACUGAGCAGAAACGGCUGCUAGGUUUGCGACGGUCAUCGGCCACUUUUCAUGUCGCGGGCUAUAGGAAUUUUAUAAAUAAAAUUGUGUAAAAUUUAAAAUUACUAUUAACAAAAUGCAUGUGAUCGGAACCAAAAGAUUGUUAAUUGAUGAAACCCAACUUAUCUGGAACAUACACUCACACGUCAUGUGCUGAAUAAAUAGGACAGAUACCUACUAACCACAGAACUCAGUAGAGCCCAACUCAACAAAAUCGUAAGUAAGUGUAUUCCACCUCAACAAUAAACAGGCAAGAAAGGAACUGAAAAUACAGUGGUGAAGCAUCUAACUUGAACAUAUACAAACACCCACCUAACCCAGGAGUCACUUUAGUCAGGAAACUAACUUUAAGAGCAAAUGCGAUAUAAUUGAAAUGAAAAUUGCCUUAUAAUAUUCAGCUGGAGAGUAUGCAUGCCCAGUAUGGAGUAGAUCCUGUCAUGCGAAAAAAGUAGAUGUGGCACCCGCACCCGGGUAUAGAAACUAAUGAACACCUGGAAAACACUUUAAGAGUAGGAGUUACUCUAGUAGCUGAGUAUGGUUAAUAAUUAAUAUUCUAUAAUGAUUUUCCAGUGGGUGUAACGGGUAAGAAACAUUUAUUGAGUUAUUUAUUUCAUUGAUCUUUAUAGUCGAUUAUUGUAUGAAAAAUACACGAUCAAUUUUCAUAAAUAAUAUUUUUCUUCCUCAACAUUGUUCUUAAUUAAUUAGAAAUCGCAGAAAAUAACUUUGGUUUAUUAUAUAUAUUUAUUGCAGUAUAUGAUAGUAAGUAUAUUUUAUAUAUUAUAUUUAUUGUAUUUUUUUUACUUUUAACUGAUUAAAUUAUUCACUUCUAAAUUAUUAGGUUAACUAUGAUACAUACAUUUUUUAUGUGAUUCUAUUAUAACCAUAUUAGGUUUAUCAUUUGAAAUUAUCAUCUUCCCACACGUUAUAUAGCAAUGACUAGAUUUUGUAACUCUCUAUCAGUUCCAUAGAUAAUACUAAAUAAUGGAUAGGCCAUGACUAUAAUGAUAGGACAAAUAGAAGCGUGCCGGAAAGGGGAAGAGAGACUAUUAUUAUCUAUGCCUCUCAUUCUAGCUGAAGUCUUAUCAUAAUAUAUAUAUAUAUACUUAUACAUCAAUUUAUUUGUGAUAAGACCUCUAUAAUUUCAUAUCCGUUCCCAUAUGAUAUUCAUAAAUGGCCUAUCCAUUCUCUAAUAUCUACCGUCAGUUCACGAUUUUGUUAACUUUAAAAUUCAAAAUUUAAUGCAUUGAAAAAAUUAGUCGUUAAAUCCUUUUUUAUAUGAAAGUUGUACCGACUUAUUCAGGCAGACAUAUCUCGAGUCUAUCACUUCACAUGUUUUUUUAAAGCUAUGGCUGGCAUUACUCUUUGAAUCUGAUGAAAUUAUUAAUACUUAUCUCAGAUAUGUCUAAUAUAGAGAUUUAUGAAACAUCUACAUAUAGCCGACUCGAUGUGUAUAUGAAACUUGGAUAGACAAAUGUAAGAUGGAAAAAUAUGAUUGAUUACUCCUUGAAAUGCAUGACUAUGCCAUAAUUAUAUAAUAAAUAAUGGUAGAUUAAGACUUUACACCACAACAAAAAACAAAUUAUGGUUUACUAUAUAGUAUAUAUAUUCUUAAAAAUGUCUCACGUGAUUUCAACACAAAGUCAACUAUCAAGUUGUAUCAAACAUAAAUCUAUGGACUAAAUAGAUUUUUAAUCAUUGAAAUUCAUAAAAUAAAUAUUCACUAGAGUUAUCAACCCCUUGAUAAAUAAAAUUUGACGUUUGAUGUUCGUAGUCACAUGGUUGCUUAAUAAUUAUAAAUUUACUAGCUGAUCCCGCGCACUUCGUUGCCCGUAUAAAUGACGACUCUUAAAAAAGUUGUGAUUGUUUAACUCUUUUUGGAUGUAACUCUCUAACUAAGUGCAGCUUUGCCACCUUGGUAGGCAAUCCACCUGUGGUGGAUUGCGGACACGCCGAUGAGUGACUAUAAUUGUAACUCAACCAUCUUGGUAAGCAUGCAAUGUACGAAAAUUGGAUUUGACGUAUGCUUGUACCUGACCUGCCCGAUUAACCAAUGGCAACCUUUAAAAAAAACUAAUUUAUACUAAUUAUUAUUCCUAUAACUAAUAGCAACUAUUUAUGGACAACAAUUUAUAUUGGUCAAUCUCAAAAUUCCUGUUUGACCACCUCCUCGAGUUAGGGAACCAUUCAAAUACGCACACGAAAUUUCAUCAGAAUCAGUCAAGCCUUUAGGAAUGCAUUAAGGACAAACUUACAGACAAUAAUUUGUAUAUAUAAUAUUUGCAUGAUUUGAUGAUAUUUGCAUCAAUAAAGACAUACACCUUAUGUUCAUAGAUUACAAAGCCGCAUACAAUUCGAUUAAUAGGGAAAAACUAUGGAAUGUCUAAAUAGAUAAAUUAAUAUCCUAACUGUGUAUUUAAUAAUUUAAUGUUAUUUUAUUAUAACUUUUUACUUAUUGACAAACAAAUUAUGUGUGACUAAUUUUUCACUGAAAAAAAAUAUAUUUUUACUUUAAUCAUGAUAUAUAAAUAUGCCUAUGAUAGUAUAAUCUAUUUUAAUCUAUUUUAAUUAAUUUAACGUUUUCAUUUAGCUACAAAAGAUAAAGCCGGAAGAGACAUUCUGACAUUCACCAAUCAGCAUGUGACAAAUUCACAAGCAUCCUCAACUUUCAAGACCACUCACUUUAUAUGCUAAAUCACCACCUGCUACACAAAAAUCCAGCAAUUGGGCCACUGAAGUCAAA